GAAAGGCUGUCAGCUGUGGGAGGGGAGCCCCCUUGUGGUGAGAGAGCACAGUUGCUCUACUGAGCACAUGUUCCAGUGAUCAGAGUUGGAGCUAACACAUAGCAAGAGCCACCUGACAGACUGACUCAGCAGGGGAUGUGUACACACGGUGUGAGUUGUGUGCGUCGCUAAAGAACUGUACACUUACAACCACAACCUUACCACCUACCUCAGCUCUGCCCCCUCACUCAUUCUCCCUCCACCGUGUGUUCAGAGUGGUCCUCCACCUGGUGGUGUUCCAUACCUCAUCUCCACUCUCCUCAUGGUGUCUUUGUAUCGACACAGAGCCAAAGGAAAUUACCUGCAUCCUUCAGUCUCACCCACUCAGCAGCAGGGAUUGGAUUAUAAGAAUAAUGAUGUCACCACAGAGCAUCACUCCUGAAUCAGAGCUCUAUUGUUUCUUGGCGGGUCUCAUUUACAUUGUCGUCGUCACCUCUGUUGUGGAGAUGACUUGAAUAAAUGGACUCUGAUGUACAUCUCUGGAUGUUUUUAUGUAGAAUAAAUAACAGUAAUUGUAAAUAUUCCAACUCAAAGGAGGAUAUUCAUCAUGCGCUGUCUAUGUAUCACUGCAGCUAUAAUGUGUUGUGCAAAGCAUUCCUUUUAUUUCUCGACUGAUUGAUGGGAUUUUCUGUUUUCUCUUUGUUGCUUUAGCUUCUGUACCUUAUGAUAUGAAACGCACUGAGGUCACUGUUGUGGUGAUUUUUUGCUAUAUAAAUAAAAUUGAAAAGGUGCUGGAUCAAUA